CGGACCGCGAGGGGAGAACCGGCCCGUCCGGUGCCGAAGGAGCAACCGCCCCGGAAACUCUCAGGCCCAUGGACCUUUGCGGACAC
rnacentral:ncRNA from 2 species